GACGAACGCUGGCGGCGUGCUUAACACAUGCAAGUCGAACGGGAGUAUUGAAGAAGCUUGCUUUAGAGAUACUUUAGUGGCGGACGGGUGAGUAACGCGUGAGGAGCUGUCCUAUGCAGGGGGACAACAGCUGGAAACGGCUGCUAAUACCCCAUAAGCCGAGAGGUAAAAGGAUCAAUCCGGCAGAGGAGGUACUCGCGUCCUAUCAGCUAGUAGGUGAGGUAACGGCUCACCUAGGCGACGACGGGUAGCCGGCCUGAGAGGGCGACCGGCCACACUGGGACUGAGACACGGCCCAGACUCCUACGGGAGGCAGCAGUGGGGAAUAUUGCGCAAUGGGGGCAACCCUGACGCAGCAACGCCGCGUGAGUGAGGAAGGUUUUCGGACCGUAAAGCUCUGUCGAGCGGGAAGAAAUGCAUGGUGCGUAAUAAUCACUCAUGUCUGUACGGUAACCGGUCCGUAAAGGAAGACGAACCGGCCUAAACGUCCCGUAGCCCAGGCCAAGCCGCGGUAAACCG
rnacentral:rRNA from 1 species